rnacentral:rRNA from 1 species
UACGUAGGGGGGCAAGCGUUGUCCGGAAUUAUUGGGCGUAAAGCGCGUGUAGGCGGCUCGGUAAGUCUGCUGUGAAAGUCCAAGGCUCAACCUUGGAAAGCCGGUGGAUACUGUCGAGCUCGAGUCCGGAAGAGGCGAGUGGAAUUCCUGGUGUAGCGGUGAAAUGCGCAGAUAUCAGGAGGAACACCAAUGGCGAAGGCAGCUCGCUGGGACGGUACUGACGCUGAGACGCGAAAGCGUGGGGAGCAAACAGG